rnacentral:rRNA from 1 species
GACGAACGCUGGCGGCGUGCUUAACACAUGCAAGUCGAACGGAAAGGCCCUGCUUUUGUGGGGUGCUCGAGUGGCGAACGGGUGAGUAACACGCGAGUAACCUGCCCUUGACUUUGGGAUAACUUCGGGAAACUGGGGCUAAUACCGGAUAGGAGCUCCUGCUGCAUGGUGGGGGUUGGAAAGUUUCGGCGGUUGGGGAUGGACUCGCGGCUUAUCAGCUUGUUGGUGGGGUAGUGGCUUACCAAGGCUUUGACGGGUAGCCGGCCUGAGAGGGGGACCGGGCACAAUGGGACUGAGAUAGGGCGCAGACUCCUACGGGAGGCAGCGGUGGGGAGUAUUGCGCAGUAGGCGGGAGCCUGAUGCGGCGACGCCGCGAGCGGGAUAACGGCCUACGGGUGGUAAACCGCUUUCGCCUGUGACGAAGCGUGAGUGACGGUAAUGGGUAAGGAAGCACCGGCUAACUACGUG